rnacentral:tRNA from 1 species
UCUGUGGCGGAAUUGGUAGACGCGUCUCGCUCAAAAUGAGAUGCCUAUGGUGUGUGGGUUCGAGUCCCACCGGAG